UUGACCUCGGAUCAGGUAGGGAUACCCGCUGAACUUAAGCAUAUCAUU
rnacentral:rRNA from 2 species